AAUAAUAAUAAUAAUAAUAAUAAUAAUAUAGUUGUUAUUAUUGUUGUUGUUAUUGCUGUUAUUGUUGUUGUACAACAUCUAUUUUGUCAUUUAUCUUUUUUCUCCUCAGGUGUCAUUAACCUGAGGUCAUACUCAAAAGAGUAUCAGGAGGAGCUCACAAGAAUGUAUUCAGUUGAGACAUGCAUGACAUGUAGGACAUUAUAUAAAGCCUUUCCUGGAGGAUGCAUUGGUCGGGGAAAGAGGGGACAGCUGGACGGCAUCUACAGUGAUCCACAUCCUCAACCAGGAUUCUGCAGCCACAGUUGUGCCAUGAUUCUUAACGACAUGUAAAACCAAAAAACAAAAAAACAAACACAAAAAAACAUGUUUAUAUUGUUUUGAAUUAUUUAAGCCUAUCACUGUAUAUUUGAAUCUUGUUUCUUUUCUUUUUUCUUUUGUCCUUUCUGAUUAGAUCUAUACUGUGUUUACUGUUUUAUUAAGCUAGAGAUAUUGUAAUGAUUAUCUUUUAUGUUAUAUAUAAUAAAUGCAUUUCCAACUCCAAA